rnacentral:lncRNA from 1 species
GUUCGAAAAUGUUCUGAAUUGGUCAGAUUUUACAUAGUGAUGUUAUAGUGUAGCAAACCAGAAACAUAUUUGUAACGGUUCUAUGGAACCCAGUGUCUCGGCUUAUUUUGCUUAUAGUCAUGGGCUCAACAAACUAGAGGCUCUAAAGAGCCUGUGUCGCUCACCUUGGUCUAUGUGAAUACUAAACAAAGGACACAGAUGGAUUCAAGACAAAAUUGUGGUUUGGUGAUGGUGAUGUGUUUGUAGAUCUUACUUUACUGAACAUUCUUGCUGCUUACAAUUAUCUCUAUCUAUAAUGAACUUGACCCAGUAGUUACAGUGGAAAAUGUUAGUAAAAUUUUACAAAUUUUGUGAAAAUUUAAAAAAAAAAAUGACUAUAUAAAGGGCAAUAACUCCUUAGGAGUCAAUUGACCAUUUUGGUCAUGUUGACUUCUUUUUAGGUCUUACUUUGCUGUACAUUAUUGCUGUUUACAGUUUAUCUCUAUCUAUAAUAAUAUUCAAGAUAAUAACCAAAAACAGCAAAAUUUCCUUAAAAUUACCAAUUCAGGGGCAGCAACCCAACAACAGGUUGUCCGAUUCAUCUGAAAAUUUCAGGGCAGAUAAAUUUUGACCUGAUGAACAAUUUUCCCCAUGUCAGAUUUGCUCUAAAUGCUUUGGUUUUUGAGUUAUAAGCCAAAAACUGCAUUUUACCCCCAUGUUCUAUUUUUAGCCAUGGCGGCCAUCUUGGUUGGUUGACCGGGUCACCGGACACAUUUUUAAAACUAGAUACCCCAAUGAUGAUUGUGGCCAUGUUUGGUUUAAUUUGGCCCACUAGUUUCAGAGGAGAAGAUUUUUCUAAAAGAUGACCAAGAUUUACGAAAAAUGGUUAAAAAUUGACUAUAAAGGACAAUAACUCCUAAAGGGGUCAAUUGACCAUUUCGGUCAUGUUGACUUAUUUGUA